rnacentral:rRNA from 1 species
AGGGGGCAUAGCGCUUACCGAACCUUAUCAAACUCCGAAUGCCACAUACUUUGAGCUCGGCAGUCAGACUACGAAUGAUAAGAUCCGUGGUCAAAAGGGAAACAGCCCAGAUCGUCAGCUAAGGUCCCAAAGUGUAAGUUAAGUGGGAAAGGAUGUGAGAUUUCUAAGACAACUAGGAUGUUGGCUUAGAAGCAGCCAUUCAUUAAAAGAGUGCGUAAUAGCUCACUAGUCGAGAGAUCUUGCGCCGAAAAUGUAACGGGGCUAAACUUACCACCGAAGCUACGGGCUUGAACUUAGUUCAAGCGGUAGGAGAGCGUCGUAACCGGGCUGAAGUCGUACCGUAAGGAGCGGUGGACUGGUUACGAGUGAGAAUGUUGGCAUCAGUAGCGAGAUGUGGGUGAGAAUCCCACAGGCCGAAAACCUAAGGUUUCCUCAGGAAGGUUCGUCCGCUGAGGGUUAGUCGGGACCUAAGCCGAGGCCGAAAGGCGUAGGUGAUGGACAACUGGUUGAUAUUCCAGUACCACUACCAUCGUUAUUAUCGAUGGCGUGACGCAGGAGGAUAGUGUGUGCUAGCUAUUGGAUGCUAGUCUAAGCGUUUAGGCAGUGAGAGUAGGCAAAUCCGCUCUCAUAAUGCUGAGGCGUGAUGGGGAAGGUUCUACGGAACCGAAGUACAUGAUUCCACGCUGCCAAGAAAAGCGUCUAGAGAGAGAAGUAGUGCCCGUACCGCAAACCGACACAGGUAGGUGAGGAGAGAAUCCUAAGGCCGGCGGAAGAAUUACAGUUAAGGAACUCGGCAAAUUGACCCCGUAAGUUCGCGAGAAGGGGUGCCUACGAGAGUAGGCCGCAGAGAAUAGGCCCAAGCAACUGUUUAGCAAAAACACAGGUCUCUGCUAAAGCGUAAGCUGAUGUAUAGGGGCUGACGCCUGCCCGGUGCUGGAAGGUUAAGAGGAGGGGUUAGACUUUGGUCGAAGCUCUGAAUUGAAGCCCCAGUAAACGGCGGCCGUAACUAUAACGGUCCUAAGGUAGCGAAAUUCCUUGUCGGGU